rnacentral:lncRNA from 1 species
GCAGUUACUGUAGCAAGCGGCUAACCGAAUCCUGACAAACGGUAGACCGGAUUCGGGCAGAAUAUUUCUGGAACUUAAACAGUUAGCCAGAUUUCACAAGCGGCAUACCGGAUGUUCAGAAAUUUAAAAUUGUGGCUGUAACGGUAACAUUAAGCGGCUAACCGGAUGUCCAUAAACGGUAAGCUGGUUAUGACCAAAAUGAGCAUAACGGCUAGUUUUUGAGCUCAAACUAUAUAAACUCAAAUCCAAUUCAUUUUCAAGCUCUCCAACUAGCAAAAACAAAAAACACACAAGAUAUCUUGAGCUCUCAAUUCGCAAAUCACAAAAACAUUAAAUCAUCUCUUGUUCUUCAUUUUUGAAUAGCUACUCUUUGAGUGAGUUUUAUUGUAACUUUCAUUUCUUCAUCUCAAUUGUAAGAGUUUGAGUGUGUGAGACACUUGAGUGAAGAGAUUGGGAGAUAAUCUCUUUAUUGUAAAGGUUCAUUGACACCUUGAAGUCAAUUGUAAACGGUUAAAGCCUUGAAAAGGCUUGGAUAGUGAAAUCCUCAAGCUUGGAUCGCUUGGAGGCGUGGACGUAGGCGGGCAUUGCCGAACCACGUAAAAAUUCGUGUGUUUGUUUCUCUUCUCCCUUACUCAUUUGUUAUUGUGCUUUUAUUGAACUUAUCGCUUUCAAUUUUUAUUAAAACAUUAGAUUGCUUGUUGUGUGGAUAUGCUAGGAUCAUUUUUAAAAUUCCAAUUCACCCCCCCUUUUGGGUUGCACACUUAUAUUUCAUUUGGUAUCAGAGCGAGGUGCUCUUAUUUAGACUUAAUCGUCUAGAGCUAAAGAUUAAUGGCAACUCAAAAUGAUUCCACAUUUAGGGAAGGACAGUCCACCACUAAACCACCUUACUUUGAUGGAAACGAUCACCCGUAUUGAAAAACUAGGAUGAAAAUUUACUUGCAAGCCUUAGAUUAUGAAAUUUGGGAAAUCGUUAAUGAUGGUCCUUUCAUGCCUUUAACUAAAAAUGAAGUCGGGGAAGAUAUUCCAAAACCUUCACGGGAAUGGAAUGAAUUCGAAAAGAGAAAAGCUUCUCUAAAUUCCAAGGUUAUGAAUGCCUUGUUUUGUGCACUAGAUAAGAAAGAGUUUCAUAGAGUGUCUAGUUGCGAAAGUGCUAAUGAAAUUUGGCACAAACUUGAAGUUGUUUAUGAAGGCACGAACCAAGUGAAAGAAUCUAAAAUAAGUAGGUAUACUCGACAAUAUGAAUUGUUCUAAAUGGAACAAAAUGAGAAUGUGUACUCUAUGUAUACUAGAUUUACAGACAGAGUGAACACUCUAGGAGCCCUAGGAAAGACCUUUUCAAAUAGCGAGAAAGUUAAGAAAAUUAUUAGGUCGCUACCUAAGGAAUGGAGACAAAAAAGAACUGCCAUUGAGGAAGCCAAAGAUUUAAAUGUAUUACCUAUUGAUGAUUUAAUUGGUUCUCUCAUUUCAUAUGAAGAAGAUUUGGCAGCUGAAAAAGGGCAUGACGAAAAGAAGAAAAACAUUGCUCUUAAGGCUUUAAAACAUGAGAGUGAUGAGGAAAGCGAAAUGGAUGAUGAGGAGUUGGCAAUGUUGGCUAGAAGAUUCAGAAAAUUUUACAAGAAGAAUAAUGAGCAGAGAAAGUUCAGAGGCUACAAGAAUAAGAAGGAGAAGAAAGAGCCAAUCACUUGCUAUGAAUGUAAAAAGCCCGGACACAUACGACCGGAAUGUCCUCUCCUCAACAAACUCAAGAAGAAAGCUAUGGUGGCGACAUGGGAUGAUAGUGAUAAGGAAACAAGUGAUGAUGAAGAGUAACAAAAAAUGACAAAUUUAGCUCUCAUGGCCUUUGGGGAAGAAUCAUGUGAUGAAUGACACAACUUAAAAGUAAUUUUUAACUCCCAAGUAUAAGAGUGUCUUGUUGUAUUAUAACUCGGUGAGUCCGAGGUCGAUCCACAGAGAAAAGAUUUAAUUAGUUUAUUUUAUUUUAACUAAAAAUUGAAAUUAAAACUUAAAUAUAAACAACUUAAUUUAAAUGAAACUAUGAAAUUGAACUAGUUAGGGUUAUGGAUCCACUCUUAGAAGUAAAUAAAACUUAAUAAAUUCUUUUUGCUAAUUUUUUAGAUUUAUUACCCAAAAGAUUAAUUAUACAAAUUAUUAUUAUUUUCCCUUUAAUUUUAUGAUGGAUUAAGUAUUUAUUGUGCUAAAAUUUAAUUUGUCUACAAUAAGUCAAAAUACCAUUUCACCAUGCCUUAUAUUAAGAUCUUAAGAAUUUAUUGUGCCAAAUUCAUUUGUUUGUCUACAAUAAAUCAAAAUUUCAAAAUAUAAAACAUGUAUAAAAUUAAAUAGAAAAUAAUUUAAUUUAUAAAAUUAAAAAUAGAAUUUGAUUAAAUCAUAUUUAUUUCCUAAGAAUUUCACCUUCCCCUAACUAAUAUUAUUUAGUUAAGCAUAAUUAAAAUAAAAAGAAGUAGUAUAAUUGAAUUACUUAUAAUUAAAAGAAAUAAAACAACUAAAAUUAGAAAUAAAACUAAUUUUAUUAAUGAAAAUAAUUAUACAAAAUAUUAAAAACACACUUGGAAAUCAAGAUUACAAGGAGAUGGAGAGAAUUUGAGAAGAAGAGAGUUGUCGAGAGAUGAUUAAAACAUAAAAAUGAGGCUCUAUUUAUAGAAAAAUAAAUUCAUAAUCCAGUGCUUUGCGGUUCAUCAUAGGCUUCAUGCAUGUGCUCCUCACAACCCUUAGAUCAAGAUCCAAUGGCUGUCAAACUUCAAAAGUCAACAUCACACAUGGCAUCAUUUGACUCGUCCGAUUUGCCCAAAGAACGGUUGAGAUUUGGUGGGUUAAUGGGUGGAUCGGGGCGACCCAAAUACAAAGAUUCGGAUCCUCCAACUUGCUUCACCAACCAUUGCCAUGUGGCACAAUCAUGGCCAUUGAAUCAUGAACGGUUGAGAUUUGGUUAAGAUUGCCAGCUAUUCCAUGCACUCAUAUCUAUUGUAAGCUCAUUUCAUCAUCCAAUCAGUGCUCGGUCAACAGGAAAAGUCAAUUUUUUUUACACAAGCCCAAUUUUAAGCCGAUCUUGACUGAUCUUAAGGUUUUCGGACCUCCGGAAUCCAAAUUUGACCUCCGUUUAUCUGUUUGGAGCCUCGAAGUACGUGAAAUUAAUAUUUUUCCUAAUAAACACAUAAAAAUACACAAAAUUAAAUAUAAUUAAAACAUAAUUCAUAAUUCAUAAUAUAUUACAUAAACACAAAUAUAAAUUAUAACAUAACCAUAAAAUAACAUAUUAUCGCUUGAUAAUUAAACAAUUUUUAAUACUAAUCACACCCCCCAACCAGCUUAUUGCUAGCCCUCUAGCAAUUAAAACGUUAUAUUAAAUUAAGAUUUAUAAAAUUCACAUGCAAGUUAAUAGCUGUUCAUCUAUCCUCUAAAUUACCAAAUAAAUGAACUCUCCCAAAUUCUUUUACCACAUUGAUGUUCACUCAUUAUCCAAAAUAUCAUCAAACAUUCUUUUGUGCUCAAGUAAUUAACACAAUACUUAUGGGGCUUCAUUAAAAGAAAAACAACAUUUUCGUUCCAAAAUUCAUUAGAAAUUAUAUCUUUAGGCAAUAGAUUAUUCACACAUUUUUUUUUAAAUAUUACAUUUCUAACCCAUGUAGCGAGCUUUAGGUCAGUGACUCCCAAACCAGUUGGUCUUAGGGCACUAGGUGUUGAAACACCUUUACGGACUUAAUUACUCGGGUUUCUAAUAAACAAACAAUAUAUCUAUUACCCAUGUAGCGAGCGUUAGGCUAGUGACUCUCAGACCAGUUGACCUUAGGGCACUAGGUGUUGAAACACCCCUACGGACUUAAUUACUCGGGUUUCUAUAUAUAAAAACAUUUUUUCUUCUUUUUUUUGAUUUUUUUUUUGUUUUUUAGAAAUAUACACUUUCUACUACCUUAGAUACUAUUAAUAAUUAAUCAAAAGAACUAAAUGCUGUAAAACUUUAACUUACAACCCACUAGUAUGUGUCAUAGUGUGUGUGUGAAGAAUGAUUCAAUAAUACCUGUUAAAUGAGUAAACAAUUAAAUAACUUAAUAACCAAGUGGAGAGUUCACAAAUUUGAGUAAUUCAAAGAAAAUGGAACAAAAACAACUUACUAUGAAUCUCAAAAUCAAAAUAUAAUACAACAAGACUAUUAGGAUGCGUGUCAAAAGUCGUGACUCUUUACACGGCCAUCCUAAACAAAAAAAUAAUUUUUUUUGCUUUUUUGUUUUUUUUUUGUUAACAAAGAAAAGAAAAGAGAAAAGAGAAAAACAACACACAUAUUUAAAACAUACGUAAAUUAUCCCCACCCCACAAUGUAAUCUAAACAUUAUCUUAACAUUUUAUAAUUUUACAUAUAUGCAAAAAGAAAAAAAUAAAUAAAAAUAAAAGAGAAUAAUAAAAUAAGAAGAAGAGGAGAUCUCACCUGAACUUGAUGCAGAAGCUUAAAAGCAAAUAACAAAGAUGAAGAAAAAGUCUUUUUUUUAACAACACCCUUAAGAUUAAAAAGAUGCGUUUCUAGAGAGACUACAUUCUCUACAUCCUGCCAUCUUCGACUCAAAUUUGUCCUAAGUUAGUCUUUACAGAAAAAAAAAAAAAAUUUGUUUUUUUUUUGUUUUUGUUUUUGUUUUUUUUUUUGUAAACACAUAACUAAGACUAAGACAUUCCACAAUUAUCAACUAUUCCCUCCCCCCAACCUGAAAAAGACAUUGUCCUCAAUGUUUUAAAAGGAAAGAGAAAGAGUGUAGAAGACAUCACAUGAACACUACAACAGAAAAUAUUUACAAACGGAGAGUUAAAUCUAAAUCGCACUUCUUAUUACUGCUACUGUUACCGUUACCAUCAUUAGUCGACCAAUUCAGUGCAACAGUCUGUGGAUCUGGCUUUAGUGAUAAGCUUGUAAAAGAUCAAGUAACUCAUUAGCAGUAGAAGCAGAGAUAAAUAGUUUUUUUACAGAAUGUGGAACAAAAUGAUUCUUUAUUGCAUGGUUAAUAAAAGUUAGCAAGCCGUCAUAAAAAUUAUUAACAUUUAACAAACCGAUGGGUUUUUUUAUGAAUGUUCAAGUGGGCCCAAAAUGCAAAUGUAAUUAGUGCCUCAAAAGUUGCAAGAUCUCCUGGCAAGAAAAUAAAAGCAUCAGCAUGAUUCAUCAUUUCAGAUAUUCUCUCUUGCAUACUUGAUACCACUAAUUCUUCUCCAAUUGGUGGGCCAGACAUGCACACUAGCGGUUUCAUGGGUUUUGGGAUAAUGCCGAGUACUUGGCUUCCUCUGGUAAAAACGGCUUCUGAGACAAGUCUUGAUAACCCUCGUUCACCUCCUCCAUAUACAAGAUGCAGUUUCCUCUCUGCUAUGACACGACCAAGAUCUACAGCUGCCUAAACGAACUCUUUGUACUUUCCAUAGUGAAACCCAGAAAGCACACAAAUAUUUUUGAAUUGUUUACUCGAAGAUGCUGCCAUUGGACUAAUUUUUCAAAAACAAGUUGUGAGUGUUUGAAAAAUGAGCUCAUAUUUAAAGAUCUUGGUGACAUAAAUAAUGAGAAACAACUGUAAAUGGGUUGGCAUAUUUGUCAAAUGACGAGGAAAGCUCGUGGCUCAAUAAUUCAAAAACAAAUAGUAAAAAAAAAGUAAUGAUUAGAAAAAGCAAACAGUAAAAGAAACCAAAUAUUUAUUAAAUACAAAAUCACAUCGCUAAAUGUAAUAAUGCAAAUGAUAAAAUAACAGUAAAGUAAAAUAACAGUGAAGUGAAAGGAUAUUUACUGGUAAUUGUGAUUGUGGCUCACAUAUUCCUCUGUUUUUACGUCCAGUAACGGCUUGAACUCCCUUUAUGGGUCGAGGAUCGGCUUCCCAUCCAGUUUUCUUAUAAACUGACAAACAAGGUCUUUUUGAGUCAGAUUCCCAAGACUAAACUGUGCACUUUGUUUUUGGAAUAGUAUCCACAAAUUGUAAAUCUCACGUUGCACAAAUAAGCUUCGAUGCAUCUCAAGAGAUCGUAAGAUAUCAUCCAACGAUUCUUUACUCAUGCCAUCUUUAACGAAUUUAAUUUUAUCUUCACGAGUAUCAGAAACCAUUCCUAAAGAUUUACAAUCCGGUCGUUUGCAACCAAGUCUUACACAGUUAUGACAUUUUGAGCCAAGUUGUUUAGCUCUCCUUUUCUUAGCAAAUGUACUUUUACCAAAACCAGGCAUGUAAGAAACAAAUUGACCAGAAAACUCACCUGCUAAUCGGACCUUUGCUUCAAUUAACCAACAAAUGUCAGAAGGAAUGCCAUUGAUCAUUAACAAACGCAGUCGUUCGCAACGAGCUUUGUAAAUUUUCCUGAGGGCAUUCUGAGGGAGAGAGGGAAAAUGCUUAUGGAGUUUAUGUUGUAUUUCUUCCAUGUUUGAUUUUGGGGUUUCAGUUAUUGUGGGAAACUGAAGAUACCGACUUAAGAAGUCACGGAGUACCGUUAUCCGCCAUUUAUACGGGAAAAUAAAUCAAAACACACCAAAAUCAAAUCUGCAAAAUCAAAUCAAGCGUGAAAGCGAGCAAAAAGAAGCACACAAUAUAAAAGGAAAAUGAACUUACAUUCGUCCUCUCAUUGAGUUAACCUCAAGCUCCAUUUGAAAUUCAUAUAUGCCACUCUCUACUGUUCUGAGUUGUCCCUCUAGAUCCUCAACAUAGGACACGAAUUCUGGUGGUUGUAGAUCCCAAAGUGGAUGUGAUUUACAGCUUUGUAUUAGGCCUCUUAAGUAAAUUUUAUACGCAGAAAUCUUUUAAGAUGUGCGAACAAGAAUUUUCUCAUUGAGGUGCUCAUGAUGUAAAAUGAAAAUUGAUGAGAGAAUGUACAACUGUCAAACAAACACGCUUACACAAGAAAAACAAUGUUAAAAAAAACUAUGUACAGUGCAUCAAUCUAGAGAAAAAAAAAUCAAACAAUGAAACAGUAAAAUAAUAGUAAAACAAAACAAAAAAAAUAAAAUAAAUCAUUAAAGACUUAAUCAAGAACUGGUGGGUCANNNNNNNNNNNNNNNNNNNNNNNNNNNNNNNNNNNNNNNNNNNNNNNNNNNNNNNNNNNNNNNNNNNNNNNNNNNNNNNNNNNNNNNNNNNNNNNNNNNNNNNNNNNNNNNNNNNNNNNNNNNNNNNNNNNNNNNNNNNNNNNNNNNNNNNNNCCAUUUUGACUUUAACUUUCCUGGAAAUAAAUGAAGACGAGAAUUAUAAAGCAACACUUUUUGACCAAUCUCAAAUGUUUUUCGAAAAAUUCUUUUAUCAUGAAAUGCUUUUGUUCUUGCCUUAAUAAUUCUUGAAUUUUCAUAUGCAUCAUUCCUUAAUUCCUCAAGUUCAUUCAAUUGCAAUUUUCGCACAUUACCAGCAUCAUCCAAAUUUGAAUUAAAAGCUUUAAUAGCCCAAAGUGGUUUAUGUUCAAGUUCAACAGGUAAAUGACAAGGUUUACCAUAAAUUAACCGAUAGGGUGACAUUCCUAAUGAUGUUUUAAAUGCAGUGCGGUAAGCCCAAAGUGCAUCAUUAAGUCUAAGAGACCAAUCUUUUCGGUUUGGGUUAACCGUUUUUUCCAAAAUUUGUUUUAUCUCCCUAUUUGCUAAUUCAACUUGACCAUUUGUUUGAGGAUAAUAAGGGGUAGCAAUUUUAUGUGUAAUUCCAUAUUUCUUCAUUAAAGACUCAAAUGACUUAUUACAAAAAUACUUACCUCCAUCACUGAUAAUGGCUCGAGGGAUUCCAAAUCGACUUAAAAUGUCUUCUCUUAAAAAUUUAAUCACAGUUUUACUAUCAUUAUUUCGACAAGAAAUUGCUUCAAUCCAUUUUGAGACAUAAUCAACUGCAACUAAUAUAUACACAAAUCCAAAAGAUGAUGGAAAUGGACCCAUGAAAUCAAUUCCCCAACGGUCAAAUAUUUCAAUUUCAAGUAUGGGAUUUAAGGGCAUCAUGUUUCUUUUUGUAAUUGAUCCCAAUUUUUGACAUUUUUGACAACUUUUGCAGAAUUCAUAUGUGUCUUUAAACAUGGUAGGCCAAUAAAAUCCACACUGUAAAAUUUUAGCAGUAGUUUUUCUUGAAGAAAAGUGACCACCACAUGCUUUAGAAUGACAAAAAUUAAUGACACUACUUACCUCAUUAUCAGGAAUACAUCGCCGAAAAAUUUGAUCUGGGCAAUAUUUGAACAAAUAAGGAUCAUCCCAAUAAAAUUUCUUUAUUUCAACAAAAAAUUUCUUCUUCUCUUGAGCAUUCCAUUGCAAAGGCAUUUUACCUGUAACAAGAAAAUUAACAAUAUUAGCAUACCAUGGCAUUGAAGUAAUAGAAAAUAAAAAUUCAUCAGGGAAAGAAUCAUUUAUAGGUGUUAUAUCAUUGCAGAAUUCGGAUGUGAGUCUUGAUAGAUGAUCAGCAACAACAUUUUCAGCACCCUUUUUAUCUUUGAUGGUAAGGUCAAAUUCUUGUAGUAACAAAAUCCAACAAAUUAGUCUCGGUUUGGUAUUCUGUUUACUCAUCAAAUAUCUCACAGCAGCAUGGUCAGUAAACACAACAGAUUUAGAGCCAAGCAAAUACGAACGGAAUUUGUUUAAUGCAAAUACCACAGCAAGUAAUUCUUUUUCAGUUGUAGAAUAAUUCAUUUGAGCACUAUCCAAAAUCUUACUCACAUAAUAAAUCACAAUAGGCUUACCAUCCCUUCUUUGUCCGAAAACAGCACCAACAGCAAAAUCACUUGCAUCACACAUUAAUUCAAAUGGCAAAGACCAAUCAGGAGAUUGCAUAAUAGGUGAAGAUGUUAAAAGACAAAUUAUUUUUUCAAAAGAUUUUUGGCAAUCAUCAUUCCAUUCAAACGGUGCAUCUUUUAAUAAGAGGUUACAGAGUGGUUUAGAUAUGACACUAAAGUUUUUUAUAAACCUCCUAUAAAAUCCUACAUGUCCUAAAAAGGAUCGCACAUCUCUAACUAUUUUUGGUUGUGGCAAUUUAGAUAUGACUUCGAUUUUUGCUUUGUCAACUUCAAUUCCUUUAAUAGAAACAACAUGACCCAAAACAAUUCCAGAAGUAACCAUGUAGUGACAUUUUUCCCAAUUUAACACGAGUUCUUUUUCAACACAUCUUUUUAAAACUUUCUCCAAAUUAUCAGGGCAAUCAUCAAAAGAAUUCCCAAACACAGUCAAAUCAUCCAUAAAGACCUCUAAACAAUGUUCAACCAUAUCACAAAAAAUGCUUAACAUACAUCUUUGAAAUGUUGCAGGAGCAUUACAAAGCCCGAAUGACAUUCUUUUAAAUGCAAGUGUUCCAAAAGGACAUGUGAAUGUGGUCUUUUCUUAGUCCUCAAGUGCUAUAGGAAUUUGAUAAUAACCUGAAUAUCCAUCUAAAAAACAGUAGUAGGGAUGUCCUGCUACUCUUUCUAAGAUUUGGUCAAGGAAUGGUAAUGGAAAAUGAUCUUUUCUAGUGGCUUCAUUUAAUUUUCUAUAAUCAAUGCACAUGCGCCAACUAGAUAUAAUUCGUGUUGGAAUUAAUUCACCUUUUUCAUUUUUAACAACAGUGAUUCUAGAUGUUUUAGGCACUACUUGUGUAGGACUUACCCACUUACUAUCAGAAAUAAGGUAGAUAAUUCCCACAUCAAGUAAUUUAAGGACUUCUGUUUUGACUACCUCUUUCAUGUGUGGGUUUAAUCUUCUUUGAGGUUGUUGACAUGUUUUAGCAUUUUCUUCCAAAUUAAUUCUAUGCGUGCAGAUUAAGGGAUUAAUGCCUUUAAUAUCAUUUAAAGUUCAUCCUAUUGCAUUUUUAUGCUUUUUAAGAACAGUAAGUAACUUACCUUCUUGGUCGCUUGUUAAAGUAGAAGAAAUCACAACAGGAUAAGUUUGUUCUUCUCCAAGAAAAACAUACUUCAAUCGUUCAGGCAAAGGUUUCAAUUCCAUUUUAGGUGCUUUUUGUUGUUCUGUCUUUUCAAUACUUCCAAGCUCCUCAAAUUUUGGCUCGUCAUCAUAAUUUUGCGAAGUCUGCAUAGAAUCAAGCAAUGAAUUUAUAUUAGAAAUAUCAAGUUCAAGUUGCUUAUUUGACUCAAUUGAAUUAACUAAACAAACAUUAGAAAGUUCAGAAAAAUCCCCUUAUUGAAUAUUUUCCUCAAUACAAGAUUCAAACAAUUCCUUUUGUUCAUCAGUAUCAUCUUCAAUCUCAUUUUCUUCAUUAGGUUGCCUGCACAUGUUGAAAACAUUCAAUUCCAAAGUCAUAUUUUCAAAGGAUAAAUUCAUUAAACCAUUCCUACAAUUAAUCAAAGCAUUAGCAGUUGCUAAAAAAUGAUCGACCUAAAAUUACAGGAAUUGGUUUGUAAUUAUUCACAACAGGUUCAGUUUCCAAGACAAUAAAAUCCAUAGGAUAAAUAAAUUUAUCAACUUGUACUAAAACAUCUUCCACUAUUCCUUUUGGUACUUUAACUGAUCUAUCGGCAAGCAAAAGUGUAGUUGAAGUUGAUUUUAACUCACCAAGAUUAAGUUGAAGAUAAACUGAAUAUGGAAGCAAAUUAACACUAGCACCAAGAUCUAGUAAAGCAUGCUCAAUUCUGUGGUUACCAAUAAUACAAGAAAUGGUAGGACAACCAGGAUCUUUAUAUUUCAACUUAUUAUUAGUAGACAGAAUUGUACUUACCUAUUCGGCCAUGAAAGCACUCUUUCUUACCUUCAAUUUCCUUUUAACAGUGCACAAGUCCUUUAAAAAUUUGGCAUAUGAAGGAACCUGUUUGAUUGCAUCUAAUAGAGGAAUGUUAACUUUCACUUGCUUAAAGAUUUCAUAAAUUUCAGAAGAGUGGUUUGAUUUCUUUGGUUUAUUCAAUGCAUGCGGAAAUGGUGGUUCAGGUGGAACACUAGUUAUUUCUUCACUAGGUGUAAGUUCAUUUAGUCCUUCCUUACCCUUUGAAUUUUCAUCAUUUUCAUAAGGUUCAGGCAUAGGUCUAUCAACAACCUUACCACUACGAAGAGUUAUAACUGACUUGACUUGGUCUGUGGGUGGAUUUUGUUGAAUUUUAGGAUUUGGUUGUGGUUGGGCUGGAAAUUUUUCUUUUUCUUGAAUGGUGAGUGCAGAAGCAAUUUUAGCAAGAGUAUCUUUCAAAUCAGAAAAAGUUUGUGCAUUUUGAUUGUUAAUAACGUCUUGCUUUCUGAUGAAUGAAUGCAUUGUGUCUUCUAGAUUUUUCCAGGGUGGUGGAACAUAUGGUGCAUAAGGCUGAGGAUUUUGAAAAUUUUGUGGAGGUGGUGCUUGUGAAGAUUGUGCAUUAUUAUUAUUCCUUCAACUGAAAUUUGGAUGAUUUCUCCAACCAGGAUUAUAAGUCUGUGAAUAUGGGUUUGGUUUAUUGAAAGUGUUAAUCACAUUAGCUUGAUCAUUUAGACAUUCUUUAAGUGCAGGCAAAGUGGGACACUCUUGAGUGAAAUGAUCAUUCGAAUUACAUAUGUUACAUGCAAUUUCUUGAACAGAUUUUACUUGAUCACUCUUUUUAUGCUCCAAAGCUUCAACUUUCCUAACUAGGGAUGCAAAUUGUGCUUGUAAAUCAUGAUCUUCCCUAAGAUUAUGGAUUCCUCCACUAGAUAGAGAUGAUUGUUGCUUAUUUGUCAAUUCAAAAGUUCCAACAGUAUCCCAAUGUUGUGCAUUUUCAGCUAAUUGGUCAAGGUAAUCUAGUGCAUCUUCAGGAUUUUUAUCCCUAAAUUCACCAUUAAACAUCAUUUCAACAACCUGUCUACUUUGGGGUAUUAAGCCCUCGUAGAAGUAAGUGACCAAUCGCCAAGUUUCAAAACCAUGAUGUGGGCAUAUGUUAAGCAACUCUUUAAACCUAUCCCAACAUUGGUAUAAUGUUUCUCCAUUUUUUUGAGUGAAAGAAGUGAUUUGCCUUUAAAAAGAAUUUGUUCUAUGAGGUGGAAAGAAUUUUUUCAAAAACUGUUCUUGCAUGUUAUUCCAAGUUCUUACUGAUCCAGAUCUAAGGUUUUGUAGCUUUAUCUUUUAAUGAAAAAGGAAAAAGCUUUAAUCUAAUUAUGUUCAUGCUACAAUUUUGGUCCGUGUAUGUAUUACAAACUUCCUCAAAAUCUCUUAGAUGCAAGUAUGGAUUCUCAGAUUCUAAACCAUGAAAUGUUGGUAAAAGCUGGAUAAUACCUGGUUUAAAGUUGAAUCGAGAUGCUUCUGGAGGAAAUACUAUACACGACGGUGCUCCGGUUCUGGUUGGAUUCAUGUAGUCUCUCAGAGUUCUUGGUUGAUUCUGAUCAUGUCCAUGUUGAGAUUGGUUGUCUCCUUGAUCAAUUUGAGGGUUAAGUUCGCCCAAAACAUUUUCGCCUUGAUUCUCAUCCAUGAUUGGUGGUGGAGAUUGAGAUCUAUGAAUUAACCUGCCACUUGAAGAUCGAGACCAACGUCUCAUGCAAUGGUUAUGUUAUAAAGAUAAUAUUUACACAAAUUGAUAACAAAAUAAAAUAAAAAAAUAAAUAAGCAAAUAAUAUAAGUGUGCAAAAGAAAAUUAAAUAACAAUUUUGGUGGUUGAACCCACCAAUAAAGUAAAAAAAAUAAAUGCAAAAUUAAAAAAAAAAAUGGUGGUUGAACCCACCAAUUAACAAUAAAUUAAGUAAAAAAAUAAAUGCAAAAGAAAAAAAAGAAAAAAAAUGGUGGUUGAACCCACCAAUAAAAAAAAUAAAAAAUUAAAUAAAUUCUGAAAAUUAAAUAACUGAAAAUAAAAGUUAAGAGUUAGUAGUUAGUUUGGUGGUUAAACCCACCAAUAAAGCAAAAAUAAAUAAAUACGAAAUUAAAUAAAUGCAGAAAAUUAAAUAACUGAAAUUAAAUAAAAGUUAGGAGUUAGCAGUUAGUAAGUUAAGAGUUAGUAAUUAGAGUUAGUAGUUAAAGUUAGUUAUGUCCAAAAUAAGUCCAAAAUAUGUCCAAAGUAUGUCCAAAAUAUGUCCAAAGUAUGUCCAAGUCUUGAUUAUUUUGAGGAAUUUCAUCUAGGGAUUUUAUUACAAAUUAUUUUUCAUUUUAUGGCCAAACUGUAAUUUUUAGAAGUUUAGAAUUGAGCCUUUUGGGAUGAAAGUGAAGCAGUCGAAAGAUGUCGGGGUCCGAACGUAAUUACCAGAAGAUUGGGCUAGAACCGAAAAUUGUUGGGGUGAAACAAGAAUUAUGAAAGAUAUGGGGACAAAAGAGGAUUUAAGAAAAGGAAAAGGGGGCAAACAAAAUUUUACAUAUAAGAGAAAAAUAAAAAACAGAAAAACAAACCAAAUAAAAAAAAAAUUUUCCCCGGCAACGGCGCCAAAAACUUAACACAACUUAAAAGUAAUUUUUAACUCCCAAGUAUAAGAGUGUCUUGUUAUAUUAUAACUCGGUGAGUCCGAGGUCGAUCCACAGAGAAAAGAUUUAAUUAGUUUAUUUUAUUUUAACUAAAAAUUGAAAUUAAAACUUAAAUAUAAACAACUUAAUUUAAAUGAAACUAUGAAAUUGAACUAGUUAGGGUUAUGGAUCCACUCUUAGAAGUAAAUAAAACUUAAUAAAUUCUUUUUGCUAAUUUUUUAGAUUUAUUACCCAAAAGAUUAAUUAUACAAAUUAUUAUUAUUUUCCCUUUAAUUUUAUGAUGGAUUAAGUAUUUAUUGUGCUAAAAUUUAAUUUGUCUACAAUAAGUCAAAAUACCAUUUCACCAUGCCUUAUAUUAAGAUCUUAAGAAUUUAUUGUGCCAAAUUCAUUUGUUUGUCUACAAUAAAUCAAAAUUUCAAAAUAUAAAACAUGUAUAAAAUUAAAUAGAAAAUAAUUUAAUUUAUAAAAUUAAAAAGAGAAUUUGAUUAAAUUAUAUUUAUUUCCUAAGAAUUUCACCUUCCCCUAACUAAUAUUAUUUAGUUAAGCAUAAUUAAAAUAAAAAGAAGUUGUAUAAUUGAAUUACUUAUAAUUAAAAGAAAUAAAACAACUAAAAUUAGAAAUAAAACUAAUUUUAUUAAUGAAAAUAAUUAUACAAAAUAUUAAAAACACACUUGGAAAUCAAGAUUAGAAGGAGAUGGAGAGAAUUUGAGAAGAAGAGAGUUGUAGAGAGAUGAUUAAAACAUAAAAAUGAGGCUCUAUUUAUAGAAAAAUAAAUUCAUAAUCCAGUGCUUUGCGGUUCAUCAUAGGCUUCAUGCAUGUGCUCCUCACAACCCUUAGAUCAAGAUCCAAUGGCUGUCAAACUUCAAAAGUCAACAUCACACAUGGCAUCAUUUGACUCGUCCGAUUUGCCCAAAGAACGGUUGAGAUUUGGUGGGUUAAUGGGUGGAUCGGGUCGACCCAAAUACAAAGAUUCGGAUCCUCCAACUUGCUUCACCAACCAUUGCCACAUGGCACAAUCAUGGCCAUUGAAUCAUGAACGGUUGAGAUUUGGUCAAGAUUGCCAGCUAUCCCAUGCACUCAUAUCUAUUAUAAGCUCAUUUCAUCAUCCAAUCAGUGCUCGGUCAACAGGAAAAGUCAAUUUUUUUUACGCAAGCCCAAUUUUAAGCCGAUCUUGACUGAUCUUAAGGUUUUCGGACGUCCGGAAUCCAAAUUUGACCUCCGUUUAUCUGUUUGGAGCCUCGAAGUACGUGAAAUUAAUAUUUUUCCUAAUAAACACAUAAAAAUACACAAAAUUAAAUAUAAUUAAAACAUAAUUCAUAAUUCAUAAUAUAUUACAUAAACACAAAUAUAAAUUAUAACAUAACCAUAAAAUAACAUAUUAUCGCUUGAUAAUUAAAAUUUUUUUAAUACUAAUCAAUGAACUUGAUGAGGUAAGUAUUCUUCCUACAUAUGAUGAAUUACAUGAUGCCUUUAAGGAUUUGCAUGAUGAGUUGAUGAAGAUUGGUAAAAAGAAUAUAUGUCUUAAAAAGAAGAUGAUAGAGCUUAAAAAUGAAAAUGAAUCAUUUAGUGG